rnacentral:rRNA from 1 species
AUGAUGUCAACAUCAGAGAACACCACCGCCGAAACAGAGUCUGAAAGGCCGAUACUGUUGCACAAUGCAUUGGAGGGAGACGAUCAGAGUAGAACAUACAAAGAGUUUGGUGGUAUACUGCUUGAUAUGUGUGGUCAGCAUAUACUAGAGAGACAGAAAUUGGGCCUACCGGAGGACUACAACCAGAUGUCAACACUGAUAAACCUAAAGUUCGACAUGAAAACACAGAGAGGUCGUAAAUCUGAAAAGACAACCAGAACUAUCAACAUCGACAAGUUUACUCCUAGUGGAAAGUUAAACAGGUGGCCACUUGGGAGAGCUUAUCUUCUUCGCCGUAUUGAGAAUGGAAUCCUGUACAGCGAAGAGCGAUAUGGCUAA